rnacentral:tRNA from 1 species
GACAACGUGGCCGAGCGGUUAAGGCGAUGGACUCGAAAUUAGCCAUGUGCAUUCUUGACAUCCAUUGGAGUUUCUCCGCGUAGGUUCGAGUCCUGCCGUUGUCG